UGAUAGGCUUUAGUUAGAAUGUUUUCCUGUGAGUGGAUUACUUAUUGGCGAAACAUUAGAAAACAUGUUUGUGCAAUCUCACAAUCUAUUGAUGGUGAUGAUUGGGUUGAGGAGCACCUAAGUAACAAAAAACAAGAGUUGAAUAGCGUAGCGUGCAUAUUUGUUUUAGCAAAAAUGGGCUUAAAGGAAAGCAAAAGUUUCUAUGUACAGGACUUUACUAAUGUUUAAAAACCGCCCUUACUACUGACAAAGGCGGUUUCGAAGAACGCGAUAUCGAAAGACUUGAUAUUUAUUGUUACAGAUGCUCUACCAAUAAAUCGAUUUUAUCUUUUUA